UCAUUAAAAGUGACAUGCUGUAUUACAGUUUUAAGGAAUUCCCAAUGACAUUGAAGUAGGGUCCACUGCUAAGAAAAUAUGGAUUUUUUGCUUGAUAAGUUUAGUGUUUUUUUUUUUUUAAGUAUAAACUGGCAAUGAGCGUAAUACAAUGUAAACAUUGUAAUGUAAUAUUACCAUAUUGGUAGGAAGCUGUAGAAGCUUUAAAAACAAGGUGACCCUCCAUGAAGAAUUUUAUCAUAUAAACCAUUGGGAAUUCAACAGUUUCUUAACAAAUAAUCUUAAAAGUUGAAUACGGGUAUAGAUGUAUUUUAAACAAAAAAAUCUUGGAACAUUACAUUCAUGCAAAGACUUAAAAGAUAAUACACUGCAUAUUUUUUUAUAAGGAUCAAAUAUAUAAAUGCACAAACCAUACAGAUUGUGAUGUCAUGAUAUUGUGAUGUCAUAGAAAUAGGAUAUCAUUAAAAAAUUUAUUGUGAUGUCACCCAGCAUAAGACUCAUUAAAUCAUGAAAGAGGAUUAAAUACAUUCCAGUCAUUAAUACCCCACCUCUUUUUUCACUGUGGACUACUUAAAACAUUUACAUUUGGAAACAUAGAGCUUGAAUUAAGUAAUACGUACGGUAUUCAUCAUUGUAUAAAAAAAUACAGGCCAGUUUGAAUUCAUAAGCAGCAUUGCUGAAUAAUGUUUUAAAAUUCCUCAAAAAAUUGAUUUUUUUUAAAGGAGAACCUACAUGUAGGGUUUAGCAAAGCAGGUAUUGAAAAAAAAAAUGUAUUAUUUGUGCACGAUCAAUUGUCUCAAAUUUAUCAUGUUCUGAAAAUGUCAUGUGUCCCAUUGCUUAUUUAUAUCAAUAUCUUCUUUCUUGUGUGUUUUGAUUAUAUAAUAUGACAUUCAAUGUCAAAAUUUAAAUCCUUUUAAUAUUCUU
rnacentral:sRNA from 1 species